rnacentral:siRNA from 1 species
CAAACCAACAAUGCCGACACCAUC